GUCAAAUCAUCAUGCCCCUUAUGACCUGGGCUACACACGUGCUACAAUGGUUGGUACAACGGGACGCUACCUCGCGAGAGGAUGCCAAUCUCUGAAAACCAAUCUCAGUCCGGAUUGGAGUCUGCAACUCGACUCCAUGAAGUCGGAAUCGCUAGUAAUCGCAGAUCAGCAUUGCUGCGGUGAAUACGUUCCCGGGCCUU
rnacentral:rRNA from 1 species